ensembl:snoRNA SNORD16 Small nucleolar RNA SNORD16
UGCAGUGAUGGUGUAAUUUGCGUCUGACUCUGUGACCAGUGACAGUAUGCCUGCUGUCAUAUGCUGGCACAGAUGGUUGACGAACAACAGAGUCUGAGCA